UACGAAGGGGGCUAGCGUUGUUCGGAAUUACUGGGCGUAAAGCGCGCGCAGGCGGCUAUCCAAGUCAGUGGUGAAAGCCCGGAGCUCAACUCCGGAACUGCCAUUGAAACUGUUUAGCUGGAGUGUGAGAGAGGUGAGUGGAAUCCCCAGUGUAGAGGUGAAAUUCGUAGAUAUUGGGAAGAACACCGGUGGCGAAGGCGGCGACCUGGUCCUUGACUGACGCUGAGGCGCGAAAGCGUGGGGAGCAAACAGG
rnacentral:rRNA from 1 species